rnacentral:rRNA from 1 species
AGCGAACGCUGGCGGCAAGCUUAACACAGGCAAGUCGAGCGAUGUAGCAAUACAUAGUGGCGGACGGGUGCGUAACACGUUGGAAUCUGCCUCUCGGUAAGGAAUAACUCAGGGAAAAUUGAGCUAAUACCUUAUAAUGUAUUCGGACCAAAAAUUUAUUGCCUAAAGAUGAGCCCGCGGUAGAUUAGCUAGUUGGUGGGGUAAUGGCCUACCAAGGCAACGAUCUAUAGCUGGUCUUAGAGGAUGAUUAGCCACACUGGGACUGAGACACGGCCCAGACUCCUACGGGAGGCAGCAGUGGGGAAUAUUGGGCAAUGGACGAAAGUCUGACCCAGCUAUGCCGCGUGAAUGAUGAAAGCCUUAGGGUUGUAAAGUUCUUUUACCGGGGAAGAUAAUGACGGUACCCGGAGAAAAAGCUCCGGCUAACUUCGUGCCAGCCGCCGCCGUAA